UACAUGGGGUGCAAACGUUGCUCGGAAUUAUUGGGCGUAAAGAGCUCGUAGGCGGCUCAGUAAGUCAGGUGUGAAAACUCCAGGCUCAACCUGGAGACGCCACUUGAUACUGCUGUGGCUAGAGUCCGGUAGGGGAGCAUGGAAUUCCUGGUGUAGCGGUGAAAUGCGCAGAUAUCAGGAGGAACACCAGUGGCGAAGGCGGUGCUCUGGGCCGGAACUGACGCUGAGGAGCGAAAGCGUGGGGAGCAAACAGG
rnacentral:rRNA from 1 species